UUGGUCUCAGAUCAGACAGGAGGACCCGCUGAACUUAAGCAUAUCAAUAGGCCGGAGG
rnacentral:rRNA from 1 species